UACGGAGGGUGCGAGCGUUGUCCGGAAUCAUUGGGCGUAAAGGGCGCGUAGGUGGCCCGGUCAGCGUGCGGUGAAAGCUCGGGGCUCAACCCCGAGUCGGCCGUGCGAACUGCUGGGCUUGAGCACUGUAGAGGCAGGCGGAAUUCCGGGUGUAGCGGUGGAAUGCGUAGAGAUCCGGAAGAACACCGGUGGCGAAGGCGGCCUGCUGGCAGUGGCUGGACACUGAGGCGCGACAGCGUGGGGAGCA
rnacentral:rRNA from 1 species